rfam:Ixodes scapularis strain Wikel colony gcontig_1108379084904, whole genome shotgun sequence.
GCAGUCGUGGCCGAGUGGUUAAGGAGAUGGACUAGAAAUCCAUUGGGGUCUCCCCGCACAAGCUCGAAUCAUGUCGACUGCG